GAUGAAGAACGUAGCGAAAUGCGAUAAGUAAUGUGAAUUGCAGAAUUCAGUGAAUCAUCGAAUCUUUGAACGCACAUUGCGCCCCUUGGUAUUCCGAGGGGCAUGCCUGUUCGAGCGUCAUUAUAACCCUCAAGCUCAGCUUGGUGUUGGGGCCUGCUGCACUGGCAGCCCUUAAAAUCAGUGGCGGCGCCAUCUGGCUCUAAGCGUAGUAAUUCUUCUCGCUAUGGAGUCCUGGUGGAUGCUUGCCAUCAACCCCCAAUUUUUCUAUGGUUGACCUCGGAUCAGGUAGGGAUACCCGCUGAACUUAAGCAUAUCAAUAAGCGGAGGGA
rnacentral:misc_RNA from 1 species